AUCGGCAGCUAGCUCUCUGCAGCUCUCACAUGGUCCCCCACUGAAGCUAAGCAGGGCUGUGCCCGGUCAGUACCUUGAUGGGAGACCACAUGGGAAAGCUAGGGUGCUGCUGGAA
rnacentral:rRNA from 1 species